rnacentral:rRNA from 1 species
GACAGAGGUGCCGAGCGUUAGGCGGAAUCACUGGGCUUAAAGCGUGUGUAGGCGGAUCGUUAAGUAUCUUGUGAAAUCCCACGGCUCAACCGUGGAACUGCUGGGUAUACUGGCGGUCUUGAGCCACCUAGGGGCGAGCGGAACAAGCGGUGGAGCGGUGAAAUGCGUAGAUAUCGCUUGGAACGCCGACGGUGAAAACAGCUCGCUGGGGGUGUGCUGACGCUGAGACACGAAAGCCAGGGGAGCGAACGGG